rnacentral:rRNA from 1 species
UCCUUCGGGCGCUGACGAGUGGCGGACGGGUGAGUAACGCGUAGGAAUCUGCCUGGUAGUGGGGGACAACGUGGGGAAACUCACGCUAAUACCGCAUACGCUCCCGAUUGCAAGAUGGGGAGGAAAGCGGGGGACCUUCGGGCCUCGCGCUAUCAGAUGAGCCUGCGUUAGAUUAGCUGGUUGGUGGGGUAAAGGCCUACCAAGGCGACGAUCUAUAGCUGGUCUGAGAGGACGAUCAGCCACACUGGGACUGAGACACGGCCCAGACUCCUACGGGAGGCAGCAGUGGGGAAUAUUGGACAAUGGGCGCAAGCCUGAUCCAGCAAUACCGCGUGUGUGAAGAAGGCCUUAGGGUUGUAAAGCACUUUCAAUGGGGAGGAAAACCUGCCGGCCAAUACCCGGCAGCUUGACAUUACCUGUAGAAGAAGCACCGGCUAACUCCGUGCCAGCAGCCGCGGUAAUACGGAGGGUGCGAGCGUUAAUCGGAAUUACUGGGCGUAAAGCGUGCGUAGGCGGUUCGUUAAGUCAGAUGUGAAAGCCCCGGGCUCAACCUGGGAACGGCAUUUGAAACUGGCGGACUAGAGUUUGGUAGAGGGGAGUGGAAUUUCAGGUGUAGCGGUGAAAUGCGUAGAUAUCUGAAGGAACACCAGUGGCGAAGGCGACUCCCUGGACCAGAACUGACGCUGAGGCACGAAAGCGUGUGUAGCAAACAGGAUUAGAUACCCUGGUAGUCCACGCCGUAAACGAUGUCAACUAGCCGUUGGCCCUAUUUACAGGGUGAGUGGCGCAGCUAACGCAUUAAGUUGACCGCCUGGGGAGUACGGCCGCAAGGUUAAAACUCAAAUGAAUUGACAG